UACGUAGGGGGCGAGCGUUGUCCGGAUUUAUUGGGCGUAAAGAGCUCGUAGGCGGUUUGGCAAGUCGGGUGUGAAAACUCCGGGCUCAACUCGGAGACGCCACCCGAUACUGCUAUGACUCGAGUCCGGUAGGGGAGUGCGGAAUUCCUGGUGUAGCGGUGAAAUGCGCAGAUAUCAGGAGGAACACCGGUGGCGAAGGCGGCACUCUGGGCCGGAACUGACGCUGAGGAGCGAAAGCGUGGGGAGCGAACAGG
rnacentral:rRNA from 1 species